UAUAUAUAUAUAUAUAUAUAUAAACAUCUUACAGAUAUAUGCAAUAUAUUUUUCAUUUUCAUCUGGUGUUGUGAAGUUUGUUGAUGCAUGCAGAAACUUAUGCAAUCGCUUUUUCUCCAGUCUUAUUUUUACAGAUAGAAGAGACAACAACAAACGGCUAGAUAAAAGUUGGCAAGAAACAAAAACCCAGCCGAAGGGUUUCUCGAUUAACGUUAAACGAAUAAAAUAAAACGACUACCGUAAUUUGAAUGGAAGCACGGGCAUAAAAUUAUUUACGAUAAUUUAUUCUUAGCCGAAAGGAGAACCAUUCCACAGAUUAGAGUUACGAAACUAUACAUAUACACGUAUAAUUUCAAGCAAUCGCUUCAUUUGAAAAACCUCACAAUAUCAACUUUAACAUUUCACAUUCUGAAACUGCAAUUCUCCUCUUUAUUUAUCCUCUUUCCAGAGUCUCUCCACGAUUCACAUCUCCACGGAAUUGCUCAACGGAAGACGAGACUUCUAUAUAUCUCCGUUUGAAAAUUCUCAACCUUAACGUUUCUGCAACUAUUCUUCUUCACUUGCAUCAAUAAUCCGUUUCCCAACAGGGAUACAUCCAUAAUUUUAACCAAUUACUCUAUUUGAUGCUCCAUCAGAAUGGAUAUUAAGUAAUAUGUCGUUUUCGAAUAAAUCUCGCAAUUACCACUAUUCUUGUAUAUAUAUGUAUAUAUGUUAUUGUUACAGUGCCGUUUCGACGUUUGAUCAAUCGGCCAUCACGAGUGUCAGCGAUCGGAUGGUUUAUUAAUUCCGACGCAACAAGUGUCGAUGAUUAACGGCACGCGGCGCUGAUCGUCGUACCGCAACAUCUUGGAGAUCCUGGCUCGAGUAUUGUCUUCCUUCUCUUUCAUCAAUUUGAAAAAUGUUCAUCGAAAUCGUUCUGAUUCAAUGAUUUAUCUCGUAAAGGUAAUGGGAAGGAACUUUUUUUUAAAUAUAUAAAUCUCCCAUGAUUAAUUGUAAUGAUUGCGAUUGAAAGUUCCUAGAUUUUUAGUUUAAAAUUCCCUAGAUAAUGAGAUGUUUGUAAGUAAUAAUUUUCAUGGAAUGAAUUUAUGUUAUGUGUAAGUAUUAUAUAUAUUUAAUAAUAAUAAUAAUAUUGUAUAUAUUUUAUGUGUAAAUAUUUUAAUUUGAGGUUCGAUUAAGAAUUAAAAGAAACUUUAAAUUAUUGUAAUUUAGAAGAUAAUAACAUCAAUAUUCGACGACAUCCGAAAUUGGAAGUUGAAGUGAAACGUUGCUCUUUAAAACAGUUUAUUGUUCUCGAUAUGACUUUUGCUUCUUGAGAUAUGCAAAGAAAAAGGUAAUUUUUUAAUGUGUUAUUAUCUUGUAUUUAUUUUCACUGUAAAGAUUUAAAUGUAAAGUAAAUAAAUAGAUAAAAUGGAAAGGUUUGCUGAAAGGAUAUAACGCAGAGCAAGAAUAUAGGUCACUAAACCAUUGGGUCAGUCCAUUCAUAAUUCCUGUUUAAUUUCUAUUUAAAGUUUAUGGCCACUCUAAGCAGUUUACAACCGAUUGAGAUAUCAAAAGUGACUUUAACGGCGGUUUUGGUUUUUUUGAACAACACUUGUGCUGUAUUGCAACAUUGUAUACGUACUUUUGGCAUCUAUCAAUCGUUCACGUGGACUAAGAUCCGAAGAGGACAAUUGUUCCUUUACCUUGGCCACAUCUUUUGGAUGCAGGAUAUCGAACCAACUUUGACCCAACAGGUCACCCUGUGUGCAAAAAAAAUUUUAAAAUAUAUGAAAAUUUUAUUACGAAAGCAAUUAAAAAUUGGAUACCUGAGAAUAGUUGAGUGUCUGUAAAACAGACUCGGAUACGUAAAGGAUUCUUCCACGAUCACAGCCCACCACGAAGACAAAACCCUCCGCAGCCUGGAAACAGGAGGAGACAUCUUCGAUUAUGAGUUGGAGAGAUUUAAAUAAUAAGAAUAAA